UACGGAGGGUGCAAGCGUUAAUCGGAAUUACUGGGCGUAAAGGGUGCGUAGGCGGUUCGUUAAGUCUGUCGUGAAAUCCCCGGGCUCAACCUGGGAAUGGCGAUGGAUACUGGCGACCUAGAGUGCGGUAGAGGGUAGUGGAAUUCCCGGUGUAGCAGUGAAAUGCGUAGAGAUCGGGAGGAACAUCCGUGGCGAAGGCGACUACCUGGACCAGCACUGACACUGAGGCACGAAAGCGUGGGGAGCAAACAGG
rnacentral:rRNA from 1 species